rnacentral:rRNA from 1 species
UGAGUACGAGAUGCUACGGCAUCGAAGCAGUCUAUGUCAUACUUCCAAGAAAAGCUCGCACUGUCAUAAACAAAUAAUGCCUGUACCAUAACCGACACAGGUGGGUAGGUAGAGUAUACUAAGGGGCGCGAGAUAACUCUCUCUAAGGAACUCGGCAAAAUGACUCCGUAACUUCGGGAGAAGGAGUGCCUUAUUUAUAAGGUUGCAAUAACAAGAUCCAAGCAACUGUUUAUCAAAAACACAGGUCUCCGCUAAGUCGUAAGACGAUGUAUGGGGGCUGACGCCUGCCCAGUGCCAGAAGGUUAAAGAAGUUGGUUAGCAUUAGCGAAGCUGAUAACUGAAGCCCUGGUGAACGGCGGCCGUAACUAUAACGGUCCUAAGGUAGCGAAAUUCCUUGUCGGGUAAGUUCCGACCCGCACGAAAGGCGUAAUGAUUUGGAUACUGUCUCGGAGAGGGGCUCGGUGAAAUAGACUUGUCUGUGAAGAUGCGGACUACCUGCACCAGGACAGAAAGACCCUAUGAAGCUUUACUGUAACUUGAAAUUGAAAUUGGACUUUAUUUGCGCAGCAUAGGUGGGAGGCGUUGAAAAUAUUCUCGCGGGAAUAUUAGAGCCAUCAGUGAGAUACCACUCUUGUAAUGUUAGAUUUCUAACUUUGUAUCAUUAUCUGGUCAAAGAACAGUUUCAGGCGGGCAGUUUGACUGGGGCGGUCGCCUCCUAAACGGUAACGGAGGCGCACAAAGGUUUCCUCUGAACGGGUAGAAAUCGUAUCUAGAGUGUAAAGGCAUAAGGAAGCUUGACUGUGAGACCUACAAGUCGAGCAGGGACGAAAGUCGGUCUUAGUGAUCUGACGGUGCUGAGUGGAAAGGCCGUCACUCAACGGAUAAAAGUUACUCUAGGAUAACAGGCUGAUCUCCCCCAAGAGUUCACAUCGACGGGGAGGUUUGGCACCUCGAUGUCGGCUCAUCGCAUCCUGGGGCGGUAGUACGUCCCAAGGGUUGGGCUGUUCGCCCAUGAAAGCGGUACGCGAGCUGGGUUCAGAACGUCGUGAGACAGUUCGGUCCAUAUCCGGUGUAGGCGUUAGAAUAUUGAGAGGAGCCUUCUUUAGUACGAGAGGACCGAGAAGGACAUACCUCUGGUGUACCAGUUAUCGUGCCAACGGUAAACGCUGGGUAGCUAUGUAUGGAGAGGAUAACCGCUGAAAGCAUCUAAGCGGGAAGCCCACCUCAAGAUAAG